rnacentral:rRNA from 1 species
GACGAACGCUGGCGGCGUGCCUAAUACAUGCAAGUCGAGCGCAGGAAACUGACGGAACUCUUCGGAGGGAAGGCAGUGGAAUGAGCGGCGGACGGGUGAGUAACACGUAAGGAACCUGCCUCAAGGAUUGGGAUAACUCCGAGAAAUCGGAGCUAAUACCGGAUAGUUCAACGGACCGCAUGGUCCGCUGAUGAAAGGCGCUCCGGCGUCACCUUGAGAUGGCCUUGCGGUGCAUUAGCUAGUUGGUGGGGUAACGGCCCACCAAGGCGACGAUGCUUAGCCCACCUGAGAGGGUGAUCGGCCACACUGGGACUGAGACACGGCCCAGACUCCUACGGGAGGCAGCAGUAGGGAAUCUUCCACAAUGGACGAAAGUCUGAUGGAGCAACGCCGCGUGAGUGAUGAAGGUUUUCGGAUCGUAAAACUCUGUUGUAAGGGAAGAACACGUACGAGAGGAAAUGCUCGUACCUUGACGGUACCUUACGAGAAAGCCACGGCUAACUACGUGCCAGCCGCCGCAGUAACAC